UAAAGUCUGACCUGCCCAAUGAGGAUUUAAAUGGCCGCGGUAUUUUGACCGUGCAAAGGUAGCAUAAUAAUUAGUUUUUUAAUUGAAAGCUGGAAUGAAUGGUUGGACGAGAAAAUAACUGUCUCAAAUUAAUUUAAUUAGAAUUUUAUUUUUAAGUAAAAAAGCUUAAAUUUUUUUAAAAGACGAGAAGACCCUAUAGAGUUUUAUAUAUUUAUAAUUAAAUAUAAUUUAGUAUAAUUAAGUUUUUAUUUUUAAAUGUAUUUUAUUGGGGUGAUAAAAAAAUUAAUAAAACUUUUUUUUUAUAUUAACAUUAAUUUAUGAAUCAUUGAUCCAUUUUUUAUGAUUAAAAGAUUAAGUUACCUUAGGGAUAACAGCGUAAUUUUUUUUUAGAGUUCUUAUCGAAAAAAGAGAUUGCGACCUCGAUGUUGGAUUAAAAUUAAUAUUUGGUGUAGAAGCUAGAUAAUUGGGUCUGUUCGACCUUUGAAAUUUUACA
rnacentral:rRNA from 1 species